rnacentral:rRNA from 1 species
AGCAGCCGCGGUAAUUCCAGCUCCAAUAGCGUAUAUUAAAGUUGUUGCAGUUAAAAAGCUCGUAGUUGAAUUUCGGGAUCAGCAGGUUGGUCGUGCCAAUGGUAUGCACUGGCCUUGCUGAUUCCUCCCUCUUGAUGAGCCGUAAUGCCAUUAAUUUGGUGUUGCGGGGAAUCAGGACUGUUACUUUGAAAAAUUAGAGUGUUUAAAGCAGGCAAGCGCUUGAAUACAUUAGCAUGGAAUAAUGAAAUAGGACGUUUGAUCCUAUUUUGUUGGUUUCUAGGAUUGACGUAAUGAUUAAUAGGGAUAGUUGGGGGCAUUAGUAUUCAAUUGUCAGAGGUGAAAUUCUUGGAUUUAUUGAAGACUAACUACUGCGAAAGCAUUUGCCAAGGAUGUUUUCAUUAAUCAAGAACGAAAGUUAGGGGAUCGAAGACGAUCAGAUACCGUCGUAGU